rnacentral:rRNA from 1 species
UCGGGCCUACGGGGGGCAGCAGUGGGGAAUAUUGCACAAUGGGGGAAACCCUGAUGCAGCGACGCCGCGUGAGCGAAGAAGUAUUUCGGUAUGUAAAGCUCUAUCAGCAGGGAAGAUAAUGACGGUACCUGAGUAAGAAGCCCCGGCUAACUACGUGCCAGCAGCCGCGGUAAUACAUAGGGGGCAAGCGUUAUCCGGAUUUACUGGGUGUAAAGGGAGCGUAGACGGCAUGGCAAGUCUGAAGUGAAAGCUCGGGGCUCAACUGCGGGACUGCUUUGGAAACUGUUAAG